UGCGUAGGCGGAAUUUUAAGUCAGUGGUGAAAUCCUGCAGCUUAACUGUAGAACUGCCAUUGAUACUGAUCUUCUUGAAUUUAGUUGAGGUGGGCGGAACGUGUAAUGUAGCGGUGAAAUGCUUAGAUAUUACACAGAACACCGAUUGCGAAGGCAGCUCACUAAACUAACAUUGACGCUGAGGCACGAAAGCGUGGGAAGCGAACAGGAUUAGAUACCCUGGUAGUCC
rnacentral:rRNA from 1 species